rnacentral:rRNA from 1 species
UGAGCAAUCUGCCCUUCUCUUUGGAAUAAGCGUUGGAAACGACGUCUAAUGCCGAAUACGACCUCCUUUCGCAUGAUCGGAGGUGGAAAGCUCCGGCGGAGAAGGAUGAGCUCGCGGCCUAUCAGCUAGUUGGGUGGGGUAACGGCCCACCAAGGCGACGAUCCGUAGCUGGUCUGAGAGGACGAACAGCCACACUGGGACUGAGACACGGCCCAGACUCCGUACGGGAGCAG